UCAAAAUGUAGUUUAGUAAAAAUGUUAGCUUUGGGGGUUAGUGAUAUCGGUUAGAUUUUUUUGAG
rnacentral:tRNA from 1 species